rnacentral:lncRNA from 1 species
GGGGGAGGGUUAAAAAAUGAAUGAAGCAGGAGGGGAGUAGAUAUAGAAUGUGUGAAUAAUCUAGCUGCUAAUGCUGCUAUGAUUUUUAAAUUCAUAUCCUAUCUAUUCCUAAUAAUGUACACAUUUUAUUUUAGUAAAGUUAAAAUUUGGCAGCCUUGGGUGGCUACAUGCAAAGAUUAUCAUGUCACCUGGAUGUUAUAAGAGUCCUUCGAGUGGACUCAAACUUUGCAACCUUUCAUGGAGAGCAAAUACUUGAUAGAUCCA